GGAUAGAUGGCUGAGCGGCCGAAAGCACCGGUCUUGAAAACCGGCAGAUGCGCGAGUAUCUCGUGGGUUCGAAUCCCACUCUAUCUG
rnacentral:tRNA from 1 species